rnacentral:rRNA from 1 species
CUGAGGUGCGAAAGCAUGGGGAGCAAACAGGAUUAGAUACCCUGGUAGUCCAUGCCGUAAACGAUGUCUACUAGCCGUUGGGGCCCUUGAGGCUUUAGUGGCGCAGCUAACGCGAUAAGUAGACCGCCUGGGGAGUACGGUCGCAAGACUAAAACUCAAAUGAAUUGACGGGGGCCCGCACAAGCGGUGGAGCAUGUGGUUUAAUUCGAUGCAACGCGAAGAACCUUACCUGGCCUUGACAUACAGAGAACUUUCCAGAGAUGGAUUGGUGCCUUCGGGAACUCUGAUACAGGUGCUGCAUGGCUGUCGUCAGCUCGUGUCGUGAGAUGUUGGGUUAAGUCCCGCAACGAGCGCAACCCUUUUCCUUAUUUGCCAGCACUUUGGGUGGGAACUUUAAGGAUACUGCCAGUGACAAACUGGAGGAAGGCGGGGACGACGUCAAGUCAUCAUGGCCCUUACGGCCAGGGCUACACACGUGCUACAAUGGUCGGUACAAAGGGUUGCUACUGCGCGAACAGAUGCUAAUCUCAAAAAGCCGAUCGUAGUCCGGAUCGCAGUCUGCAACUCGACUGCGUGAAGUCGGAAUCGCUAGUAAUCGCGGAUCAGAAUGCCGCGGUGAAUACGUUCCCGGGCCUUGUACACACCGCCC